ACAGAGUGAAAUAACACUGGUAAGUUCUGGAAGGUGCUUCAUAGUGUUCCAAAGUGUGUCAUCCCUGUGCUUAUGCAUUUGUAUCAAGGAUUUAAAGAGGAAAAACUCAAAGCAAUGUAUUCUGAUCAAGAAAUGGCAGGAAAUGGCAGCUACCUGAUAUGGAACAAUCAACAACUGAAGGUUUAUUUUGAAUGAGAGGUGUUGUCCAACUGCGAGACGGAGUGAUUGAAGCUGAGAAUAAAUGGAAACACAAUCAAUAGUCACUCCAGUGAGGUAGGAAAGAAAGCCAUUCCGAAGUGGCAGAGAAGCUGCUUUUUCCUCCUGCAUGCUGCCUGCUAGUGUGGAUCUUGGCAUAACAGACACUACUUGGCAAAAGAUCCAUCCUUCCUUUUCCUAUACUUUGCUCAGCGGCCUGGAAGAUUGACCUCAAAAGCAAAAUCACCUGGAUUUCCUUGCCAUUUGGCUUUCAAAUGUGCUCAGCCAAUGACAGGCUGGAAAGAAAUUGACAGCUGGGAAAAGAGGAAGAUUUGUGUACAAGAUCCCUUCCACUCCCAUCUCAUUACCUGCCAUGGUCCUAGCAGUGGCUGUUCUUAUUAUGGCCACAACUACUCUUGGACAGGCCAACAUCCACAACUCCAUCCUUCAACUAGGCUUCAUUAACACUGUCCCUCACCCUUAUCUCUUUCUGGGUAGGGGUGAUAAAGGUUUCCUGACAUCAGAGUUCCUGAGUGCCUCAUAUAUUCUUGUUGGUCCCUGAACCUUGCCCCAACAUCAAUAAAAAGUUCCUUCAUUAAAUAA
rnacentral:lncRNA from 1 species